AGUUUCUGUGAAUGAUUCUGUCUAGUUUUUAUACGAAGAUGUUUCCUUUUCUACCUUUGGUCUCAAAGCGAUUGAAAUCUCCACAUGGAAACUCCACAAAAAGAGUGUUUCAAAUCUGCUCUUUCUGAAGGAAGGUUCAACUCUGUGAGUUGAAUACACACACCACAAAUAAGUUACUGAGAAUUCUUCUCUCGAACAUUACAUGAAGAAAUCCCGUUUCCAA
rnacentral:lncRNA from 1 species